UGAGGAAUAUUGGUCAAUGGGCGAGAGCCUGAACCAGCCAAGUAGCGUGCAGGAUGACGGCCCUAUGGGUUGUAAACUGCUUUUAUGCGGGGAUAAAGUGAGGGACGUGUCCUUCAUUGCAGGUACCGCAUGAAUAAGGACCGGCUAAUUCCGUGCCAGCAGCCGCGGUAAUACGGAAGGUCCGGGCGUUAUCCGGAUUUAUUGGGUUUAAAGGGAGCGUAGGCCGUGGAUUAAGCGUGUUGUGAAAUGCAGGUGCUCAACGUCUGCACUGCAGCGCGAACUGGUCCACUUGAGUGUGCACAACGCAGGCGGAAUUCGUCGUGUAGCGGUGAAAUGCUUAGAUAUGACGAAGAACUCCGAUUGCGAAGGCAGCUUGCGGGAGCACAACUGACGCUGAAGCUCGAAAGUGCGGGUAUCGAACAGGAUUAGAUACCCUGGUAGUCCGCACGGUAAACGAUGGAUGCCCGUUGUCAGGCUGUUUCAGCCUGGUGACCAAGCGAAAGCAUUAAGCAUCCCACCUGGGGAGUACGCCGGCAACGGUG
rnacentral:rRNA from 1 species